rnacentral:rRNA from 1 species
UACGGAGGGUGCGAGCGUUGUCCGGAAUCACUGGGCGUAAAGGGCGCGUAGGCGGCGCGGGGAGUCAACGGUGAAAGCUCGGCGCUCAACGCCGAGUCGGCCGUCGAUACUCCCGUGCUCGAGCACUGUAGAGGCAGGUGGAAUUCCGGGUGUAGCGGUGGAAUGCGUAGAGAUCCGGAAGAACACCGGUGGCGAAGGCGGCCUGCUGGGCAGUAGCUGACGCUGAGGCGCGAAAGCUAGGGGAGCAAACAGG